rnacentral:tRNA from 1 species
UUGUGGUGUAAUGGUUAAGCACCUGGGUUUGCCCCAGAAGGGUCGUGGGUUCGAACCCCACCAA